rnacentral:tRNA from 1 species
UGGGGUGUAGCUCAGUGGUUGAGUGCUUGGCUCACAUGCAAGAGGCCAUGGGUUUCACCCCUA